CGCGCCAGGAAGUCAAUGGAAAGUGACAUUUUUUUUUUACCCUGGCAUGCAGAACAGUACAGAAACGCCAUAAUUCUUUUCCUGGGUUUAAGUGUUUUAUUUUGGUUUUUGUUUUUUUUUUUUUUUUUUUUUUGCUUUUGGACCAGAUUUUUGAAAGAGCAAGCACAGUUCUGAUAAAUUACAGUGAUCAACCAGCACCUGCAGGAAUUUCAGAGAAAGCAAGACAAUAAUUGAUCUGAAACUUUUUGAUUCUGCCUGACAUUAUGCUGUUUGUACAGACACCUGGAGCAGGUGACACAGGAGCGUGUCCAGGAGGAACCUUUCAAAAAUUAACCUGAGAGCAGCUGGAAAAGGCUAGUCUUACACCUUUUCCUGUGAAUGGGACACAGUCAGGAUCCCCACAGUGCCAGUUUAGCACCCAACACUCUUACACUCUAUGUGAUGCCAGGCUUUGACCUUGGUAAAGGACAUUUCACCUGGCUGCAGAAAGACCCAUGUUAGCAGAAGGGAGGAGUGGUACAGGAGAUCAAAUCUGCUGCUUUCAGUGUUGUCAGCCUCAAAGGCAAAGAAGACUCAGGUCAGCCAAGGGAUUGAGAGCAGCUUUGAUUCCUCAUCUCCUGGUGAAAGAACUGAAGCUUCUUUCCUGAAUUGCAGUCACACCAGUUCUGCUUUCCUGACUGCAGAGUCACAGCAGCUGUGGUGCAGCAGAGUAUCUGAAAAGAAAAUGCUAAUGGAGUUUUUUAUAGUGUACAGUAAAAGGCUCUGAUUAAAAAAAUAAUAAUGCUACACCUCAAUGCUACCUCAAACCCAGACUAUUCCUGCUUGAGAGUUUCUUUCUAGAGCCCAUAGCAGUAGAGCAGAAUCCAUAACCUCAUGUGCCAUCUCCCUGCCUGUCAUAACCACAGGCAAAGCUGGAUUAGUAAUUUCCUUUAGAGGAAAGCAAAGAAGAUGUAUCUGUGUAAUGGCAUCUCCCCUGUGCCUGAUAACAAGAUCACAAAGAGUGUGCAAGGCAGUUUUAUGCAUAUCCUGCCAAUAUGUCAAGUACUGAUUGUACAUACAAGCAUCUCAAUCAGACACUUUAGAACUAACUGGUUCUGCAAUCAUUUCUCCAUGAGAGUUCAUUAAAAUCCAUACAGGAAUUUGCUCCAGUCAUACAAAUGUCCCCCUCAUGUCAGCUUUCUGUGAGUAUUCAGUUUAUUUAUCACCAACAACCGGUCUAUACACCAGUAUACACUAUUUCAGCCUUGGAUGGGUCAGUAUUUCCACAUAUGGAUUCUGGAGUUCAUGGUCAUCCAGCUCAGAACAAGGAAUACGUCACAGACUCAGCUACACCAAAACAAAUGUUUUCCUCAAGAAGAGAGAGAAAUCUGUUUAAAAUAAUGCAAUAUUAUGUAAAUUAUGAAUAAUUCUCUUCAGUGCUGAAUAUUUUUGUAGAGUAGUAAGAAUCUGAUCAGUUGCUGGCAGAAAUUCUGUAAGAGGUAAAAUACAAUAAAGUAAAUGGUUUCUUUCAAAUUACUUAUCCAUAGAGCUACUUAAAAAGAGAUCUUUUUAACUUAAGGCAGCCCUCAAGGCUUAGCUCAUAAUUUCCUCUGGUUUGAUGCCUGUUAAAGAGGAGUCCUAGUGGGGUCUUCUAGGACACCACUGAGCUUCCAUCUGCUGGCAGCCCUGUCCCACCCCAAUGUCUCUCAUGCCCACAGCGAUUUUAACCUGCUCCUCUCUCUCUCGGAGUUCCUGACUUGAGGAGGAUUUGGUGGGCUGUGACAAGUGGAAAACCGGAGCCAAGCCACAGAAAUGGAGAGUCGGAGUGACUGAACUGGCGGGACACGAACGAUGGGAAGGGAUCUGGGCUGACCUGCUCCGUCCCAUGGACUGAAUGCAGGAACACCACCUUCCUUUGUGCAGUGCUCUGGGAGGCCAAGGUGGAAAAGGCUCUAAUGGAAUUCCUGCAGGGACAGUUUUCACUGGCUCAGUGGGAGCUGUUUGCACACAGACGCCACGGAGUAAGCUGCUAGGUGUUUAUUAACUUAGCUUGCAAGAGGAGGGGAAGGGCAGAGGAAAACUGCUGAGGGGAAAAUGCCGGUUAAAAGACAGACCACCACCCCCUGCUGUCCACCGGAGCUGGGGCAGCUGGGGCUGAGCGAGGUCCUUGUAACCUGUCUGCCACAGGUUUGUUACAGAACCGGAGAGUUUGACUCCUGAAGCAGACCAAUGGGACCACACAAGCCUGAGUUUCUGAACUUUGGGUAAAAGGAUGGGUUCAAAGGUGUGGAGUGGAAUCCUUGUUUCCUGACUAGCCCUGGAAAUUAUCUCAUCGACCUGUUUAAAAUUUAUUUGUGUUGCUGUUGUGAUCCAUACACAUAUCUCAGUGAUCAACAUAAAUAUUUUGCUGCACAUAUUUGAACUUCCAGCCAGUUUACUGGAAAAAAAUGUCAUCAGAGCUAAUGUCCCUGUUCCCUGAGGAAUGUAAAUUCUGAAGUUAGGUUUCUAAAGCAAAUCACAAAUGUUCAUUCUAGCCACUUCACAGAACUGUUCUGCAGGAUUUGGGUAGAAUUUACCCUGAAGCAGAAAAGCUUUUCCAUAAAAAGUUCACUGUGCUGUUUGCUGUGAAGACCAAGCAUGAUCAAGAUGGAGAAGUGGGAUUGAUGUUCUGGAAACAGUGAAUGAGAAUUUGCUGAAAAAUUACUGCAAUUUUCCUGAAACCACAGAUAUCAUGGAAUCAUGGAGUGGUUUUGGUUGGAAGGGACCUUUAAGGAUCAUCCAACCCUCUGCCAUGGGCAGGGAUACCUGCCACUAUCCCAGGCUGCUCAGAGCCACAUCCAGCCUGGCCUUGGACACUUGCAGGGAUGGGGCAGUCACAGCUUCUAGGGAAUUGAUUUCCAAAUGCCAAUUGCAAUCGGCAUUGAACAAUAAAUAACAGUGACAAUAAUUGCUGUUAAUAUUGGUCCAACUAAUAUAAUUACACAGGAUAUUAUUUUUUUUCUUUUCUGUUUUUUUUUUUUUAAUUGUUUUUCAUGAUGUGAGCCACUGAUUUUUGCCUCCAGUUCAAAACUUGAUCUAAUUCCAGGAAUGCCUCAAAACAUUCACUAUAUCUUUUCUGCUGGGAAAAAAAAAUCUCUUAACUUACUGUUAGCUCUCUGCUCCAAAAAUAAAAUGUACAGUACGUAACAAAUUUGGUCUGACAGCAUUUUCCCAGCUGGAAGGAUGGAACUUCUUAAUUGGUGUAUAAAUAAAUAGUGGUUUGAUCCUGCUCUUAAAUAUCUAUUAAAAAAAGAAUUUUGGCCUUGCCUCUAGUAUGCAUAGGAACAGAUCUUCCUUUCUAACAGAAACAGUAAAAGAAAAGGACUCUUCACUGAGCCAAAUUUAAAAACUAAAUCUAAAGUCUAAACAUGCUGAAAUAAAGUCCUGCUGCUGCUGUUGAGGAAGGCCCAUAAAGCUCCCUGUGUCUCUUGACAUAUGGUUUCCAUACCACUUUAUUUCAUAAAUCAUCAUUUCUAAUUGCUUUAAAGUUUGACAUGAGAACCUUAAGUGUUGUUGAAUCAUCAAAUAAAUAGCUGUUUAGCAAGAAGA